AACAAGUAAGAAAGGAACUCAAGUCAUCAUUAAUUGGAGCACCAGCUGGGGAGAAAAGGCUCAGAAACAAGGUAGACGGAAACCCAGGUGCCCAAGGUCAACCUGAUGGCCAAGGUCUCAGCUGGUGCCCAAGGUCAACCUGAUGCCCAGGUCUCAGCUGGUGCCCCAGGUCAACCUGAUGAAUAGUCCAGGCACUAAGGCUGAGACCUCAGAAGCCUGGGCUGGGGCACCUGCCUUGGGCAAGGGAGGUAGGGAUGGCCCUGCUAAGGGUCUAGGGUGCCAGCUGUGGGCAGACAAGAGCAAAGGGGUGGAGGAGCAGGCCGGGCAUCAUGGGGACUGGGCAAGGCAG
rnacentral:lncRNA from 1 species